GAUGAACGCUGGCGGCGUGCCUAAUACAUGCAUGUCGAGCGAACGGACGAGAAGCUUGCUUCUCUGAUGUUAGCGGCGGACGGGUGAGUAACACGUGGAUAACCUACCUAUAAGACUGGGAUAACUUCGGGAAACCGGAGCUAAUACCGGAUAAUAUUUUGAACCGCAUGGUUCAAAAGUGAAAGACGGUCUUGCUGUCACUUAUAGAUGGAUCCGCGCUGCAUUAGCUAGUUGGUAAGGUAACGGCUUACCAAGGCAACGAUGCAUAGCCGACCUGAGAGGGUGAUCGGCCACACUGGAACUGAGACACGGUCCAGACUCCUACGGGAGGCAGCAGUAGGGAAUCUUCCGCAAUGGGCGAAAGCCUGACGGAGCAACGCCGCGUGAGUGAUGAAGGUCUUCGGAUCGUAAAACUCUGUUAUUAGGGGAGAACAUAUGUGUAAGUAACUGUGCACAUCUUGACGGUACCUAAUCAGAAAGCCACGGCUAACUACGUG
rnacentral:rRNA from 1 species